AGCAGCCGCGGUAAUUCCAGCUCCAAUAGCGUAUAUUAAAGUUGUUGCAGUUAAAAAGCUCGUAGUUGAAUUUCGGGAUCAUCAGGUCGGUCGUGCCUCCGGUAUGUACUGGUCUCGGUGGUUCCUCCUUCUUGUAGAACCGUAAUGCCAUUAAUUUGGUGUUGCGGGAAAACAGGACUGUUACUUUGAAAAAUUAGGGUGUUUAAAGCAGGCGAUCGCUUGAAUACAUUAGCAUGGAAUAAUGAAAUAGGACGUUCGAUCCUAUUUUGUUGGUUUCUAGGAUCGACGUAAUGAUUAAUAGGGAUAGUUGGGGGCAUUAGUAUUCAAUUGUCAGAGGUGAAAUUCUUGGAUUUAUUGAAGACUAACUACUGCGAAAGCAUUUGCCAAGGAUGUUUUCAUUAAUCAAGAACGAAAGUUAGGGGAUCGAAGACGAUCAGAUACCGUCGUAGUCUUAACCAUAAACUAUGCCGACUAGGGAUCGGAUGAUGUUAAUUUUUUAAUGACUCAUUUCGGCGUCCUU
rnacentral:rRNA from 1 species